rnacentral:tRNA from 1 species
GUGGCUGUAGCUCAGUUGGUUAGAGCGCCUGGUUGUGGCCCAGGAGGUCGGCGGUUCAAAUCCGCUCAGCCACCCCA